rnacentral:rRNA from 1 species
UACGGAGGGUGCAAGCGUUAUCCGGAUUCACUGGGUUUAAAGGGUGCGUAGGCGGGCAGGUAAGUCAGGGGUGAAAUCUCCGGGCUUAACCCGGAAACUGCCGUUGAUACUAUUUGUCUUGAAUAUUGUGGAGGUAAGCGGAAUAUGUCAUGUAGCGGUGAAAUGCUUAGAUAUGACAUAGAACACCAAUUGCGAAGGCAGCUUACUACACAACGAUUGACGCUGAGGCACGAAAGCGUGGGGAUCAAACAGG